UUGGAAAGCAUUUUGCAAAGUCAUAAAGACAGUUUUCUUCUGUUCACUUAUACAGUUCCUUUGGUUGAGUUCAAAUUGGAUGCAAGUAGUACCAUAAUCAAGUAUUUCUGGUUUGGUCCUCAAGUAAUCAGAAUACAACUGAAAUCCAGAUGAUCCACAUAUUUUACAUCAGAGAGAAGAACAGAAUGUCUCAGCAGAUCCAGUAGUCUACCGGGCUGAUGUUCCGAGGCGCCUUAAACUCCUAAAGUCUGCUUCUAUUAAUGACAGAUUAAUCCAUCAAAACAUGCAGAGAAACAAGUCCCAGCCUCAUGGUCUCUGCUCACAAUUCAUUGCUCCUGAUACAAGAAUGAUCAUUUCUACCACAUGUCAUUUCCUCCUCAUCCCUGACUACCUGGUUGAAAUUCUUGAAUUGAGGAGAAUACUGACAAAUAUCAAAUAAUGUAUGCACCUUUGACACAACAUUGCAGAAAAAUAAAAAGUAAUUUCUACUAAAAUUUUUGAGCAUUCCAGAUUCACCAGUUUUUCUAAAAAUACCUCUUAGAUAACCCAGUAUUAGCAAAUUAAAAAGAACUGGAGAAUAUAAAGAAAAAAAAUGAAGAAAAACAGAAAAAAACCUGGCAACCUUUGACUGUAAAAGCUAUCAUUGGAGAGAUCACAUUAUGCUGUUAGUUCUAUAUAACACCUCACCUAAAACUUGUGGCAGUUAGAGAUAAUUCAACAGAGGAAAGCAGAAAGGCAGAGGUCUGCCUCA